rnacentral:rRNA from 1 species
UACGAAGGGGGCUAGCGUUGUUCGGAAUCACUGGGCGUAAAGGGCUCGUAGGCGGCCAACUAAGUCGGAUGUGAAAUCCCCAGGCUCAACCUGGGAACUGCAUCCGAUACUGGAUGGCUUGAAUCCGGGAGAGGGAUGCAGGAAUUCCAGGUGUAGCGGUGAAAUGCGUAGAUAUCUGGAGGAAUACCGGUGGCGAAGGCGGCAUCCUGGACCGGCAUUGACGCUGAACAGCGAAAGCUAGGGGAGCAAACGGG